AUGGACGCAUGUAGGCCUGAAAACCGCCCGGUGUCCCUCCAGAAUUGCACUGUCAAGCUAGCUUCUAAGUGUCUUUCUAAUCAAACCCAGCCGCUGAUCGAACACCUUAUCCAUUGCGACCAAACGGGCUUUAUUAGGGGGCGCGGAAUCGCUGACAAUUUUGUUCAUGCUGCCGACAUCGUUCAAACAUGCUUUGAGCGCCACCUUCCAGCAAUUGUCCUUAAGCUCGACUUCCACAAGGCCUUUGACUCUGUGUCUUGGAUCGCCCUGGCUGCGAUUUUACGGGCCAAAGGGUUUCCCCCCGCUUGGUGCCGUUGGGUGGAAAGCUUGCACAUUUCGGCCAGCUCUGUUGUUCUUUUAAACGGAAAGUCGGGACCUUGGUUUCAGUGCCAUCAGGGCCUGAGACAAGGGGACCCGUACUCCCCCCUACUUUUCAUUCUAGUCGCCGAUGUGCUAAAACGUCUAAUUAUUCAAGCCUCGCAAAAUGGCCUCCUCUCCCACACAAUUGAUGCCAAUAUGCCCUGCACCGUCAUGCAAUAUGUCGAUGAUACGCUUAUUGUCCUUCCGCCUGACGCAACUCAACUACAGACCCUCAAGAAUAUUCUGAUACAGUUCUCUGAGGCCACUGACCUCGCCAUUAAUUUCCAUAAAAGCACCUUCGCUCCAAUCCAUGUCGACUCAGAGCUUUCUGCAAGCCUUGCGGCAAUCCUGGGCUGCUCGGUUGCCUCCUUUCCCCAGUCUUACCUAGGUUUGCCUCUAUCCACUCACAAGCUAAACCUUUCCGAUUUUUUCUUCAUCAUUGACAAGGUUGACCGCCGCUUCGCUGGCUGGAGGGGACUGCUUCUGUCUUUGGCCGGGAGGGCAAUUUUAGUCCGCUCUGUUCUUUGCGCCCUUCCAAUCUACGCUAUGAGUGUUCUUUUGCUUCUCACUGGAACCGUGCAAGAAAUCGAAAAAUGUUGUAGGGCCUUCUUCUAG
rnacentral:rRNA from 1 species